GACUCGAAAGCGGAGGGGUCCGCAUCUGCUUGAUGUGAAGAAGAGACAAGGGUUCGAACGCAGAUAUUGUCGGUUCGACUCCGGCUCGAGUGU